CAGGCCUAACAUAUAGUAGUCGAGGGGCGGCAUGGGUGUUGCUUGCAACACCYGAUGGCGACCGGCGCACGGGUGAGUAACGCGUAUCCAACCUUCCCCCCAGUAGGGCAUAGCCCGGCGAAAGUCGGAUUAAUUCCCUAUGUUCUUCACAGCGGACAUCUCAUGUGAAGCAAAGGUUCGCCGCUGGGGGAUGGGGAUGCGUCUGAUUAGGUUGUCGGCGGGGUAACGGCCCACCGAGCCUUCGAUCAGUAGGGGUUCUGAGAGGAAGGUCCCCCACACUGGUACUGAGACACGGACCAGACUCCUACGGGAGGCAGCAGUGAGGAAUAUUGGUCAAUGGGCGGGAGCCUGAACCAGCCAAGUAGCGUGCAGGGUGACGGCCCUACGGGUUGUAAACUGCUUUUAUGCGGGGAUAAAGUUCACUACGUGUAGUGUUUUGCAGGUACCGCAUGAAUAAGGACCGGCUAAUUCCGUGCCAGCAGCCGCGGUAAUACGGAAGGUCCCGGCGUUAUCCGGAUUUAUUGGGUUUAAAGGGAGCGCAGGCGGCCCUGUAAGCGUGACGUGAAAUGUAGUUGCUCAACAUCUGCACCGCGUCGCGAACUGCUGGGCUUGAGUUCACCGGAAGCGGGCGGAAUUCGUGGUGUAGCGGUGAAAUGCUUAGAUAUCACGAAGAACUCCGAUUGCGAAGGCAGCUCGCUGUAGUGUUACUGACGCUGAGGCUCGAAGGUGCGGGUAUCGAACAGGAUUAGAUACCCUGGUAGUCCGCACGGUAAACGAUGGACACCCGCUGUCUGCCUGUAUGGGCAGGCGGCCAAGCGAAAGCAUUAAGUGUCCCACCUGGGGAGUACGCCGGCAACGGUGAAACUCAAAGGAAUUGACGGGGGCCCGCACAAGCGGAGGAACAUGUGGUUUAAUUCGAUGAUACGCGAGGAACCUUACCCGGGCUUGAACUGCCGGUGAACGAUACAGAGAUGUUGAGGUCCUUCGGGACGCCGGUGGAGGUGCUGCAUGGUUGUCGUCAGCUCGUGCCGUGAGGUGUCGGCUUAAGUGCCAUAACGAGCGCAACCCCUGCCUACAGUUGCCAUCGGGUUAUGCCGGGCACUCUGUAGGGACUGCCACCGCAAGGUGCGAGGAAGGUGGGGACGACGUCAAAUCAGCACGGCCCUUACGUCCGGGGCUACACACGUGUUACAAUGGGGGGCACAGCGAGUCAGGCGCUGGCAACAUCGCCUUAAUCAUGAAAUCCCCCCUCAGUUCGGACUGGGGUCUGCAACCCGACCCCACGAAGCUGGAUUCGCUAGUAAUCGCGCAUCAGCCAUGGCGCGGUGAAUACGUUCCCGG
rnacentral:rRNA from 1 species